ensembl:lincRNA
CAUAAAUACUUCAUCUAUCUGGAAUGUCCCAUUUUAGUUUUCAUCAAACGAACUUUCACCAACAAGUGCUUACUACAUGGAGGCUUAUUUAAAAACAUAACUUCCCCCUUAUAGUUUUCUUAUUUGAAAUAAUAUCAAUAUCUUGUAUAAAAAUAAAUCACAAUUGGUUUAUCAAUGUGCUGAUAUUAGUGAAUCAGUUAUUUAAUAAUGAAAGGGCAUUAUUUACAUACAGACUUUAUUGCAAAAUACUUAUUACAAUACAGGAAUUUAUGGUGCUUACUGAUGCAGGGAAUGGAUAGUAUCACAAUUAAUGAGACACAAAGUUAGUGUUCCUGAUGUCAAGUAUGUCCCUAAGUAACCAAAAUAGUAUAAAACGAUAUGUGUCAAAAGCAAACAGUUAAACAUUAAACUGCUGGUUACUUUAAAACUAACCUUCGUCUGGGAGAUCACAAGGACAUAAUGAUAUUUUAUCUGUUAUCUGGUUGCAGGUGUCAGAUUUAUAGAAUGAUGAGGGAGCAACCAUUUUUAUUUAAUUAAAAGCUUAGUGAGAAGUGAAGUGUCAAAAAAUCAGCGACGCAAUUUAAAUUCCACUGAAUUUCUCACUGUAACAUAUUUUGGCCCCUUUGGUGUGAUCAUGGUAUUCCAGUGACACUCCCAGUCACGUGAUAUUGGCAACAUAAAUAGUGGAUCAGAAUCAAUCUGAGAGUCAGACUGUGUGAUAACACAUUUAUAUUUCAUGCAGACUUUAAUCAGCACCACUGCAGUGAUGUCAAGCGAGUGGACCAAGGUGAUGCCUGUCUCUUCAGAGGUCAAAGACAUGUGCAAUAAGGUGAAGCAACAAAUAGAGCUGGGAGCUGGAGUCUCUUUUACAACCUACCAUCCUCAGAAUUAUAUUACCAAAACGGAUCAAAACCCUGCAACAAACACAUUUGUGGUGAAGGUGUGCGCGUGUGUGUGUGUGUGUGUGUGUGUGUGUGUGUGUGUGUGUGUGUGUGUGUGUGUGUGUAUUUAUGGAGUUUGUACUUACAUAUUGUUCUAAGCCAGUGUUUCUCAACUGGAGGGAACAUUUUCAGUGGGUCGCGGAGUGUGUGGUCAAAAAAACAACAAAUGUUUAAUUUUUAACUUAUUUGGCUUAUAUAAGACUUUUAUUUUAAAAUGCAUGAGCGACAACUGUACCGUUUGACAUGUGACAUUUCAUUUAAUUAUAGCAACAAAUAUGUCGAAGCGCAAGUACGAUCCUGAAUAUGUAAAGUAUGGAUUUACAUAUAUUGACGACAAAAAAGGCUUAAAACCUAAGUGUCAUAUGUAGUAAUGUGCUCUCACAAAAGCACUUUUAGAAACCAAACAUUUGUCGUUUUUACUUUGUAAUAUUUUUAUAAUUUGAUACAUUUUGUUAAAAGACAAUAAUAAAAUAGUGUUUAUUUCUAAGUCUUGGUGAAUUUCUUAUGAUGUAUCUGUCACUACUUGGGUAUGUUAACAAAUAAAUGCAAAUGAAUUAUAAUUCCUUAAAUUAUAUUAUAGUUCCUAAAAAAUUUGGGUCGCAUGUUGAUGACCAUUUAAAAAUGUGGGUCCCAAGCCCAAACCAGUUGAAACCCUUUUUAUGCUUUCAACAUCAUCCAACUCUAACCCCUUUGCUGAUUUGAUUUGUGUGGGUUUUGUCUGCUGGUUUAUUGCAUCAAAUCUAUCAUGAUAUCAUCUGGGUACUUCACGGCUACUAUUUCACCAAUACUAAGAUUUCAAAUUUAAUGUAUGCUUGGCUCACUUAAUGUUUUCCACAUGCUACAUGUUCGGGAAAUAUGUGAUUUCAUAUGCAGUCAGAUUCAUGAAUAAAAUAGUAAAAUGCUUAUAUUGUCAUUGAUCCUACUUGAUUUACUUAUAUUCUAAUCACCAGAAAUAUUUCUCAGGAAAAGUUUUCAAAAGUGAACUUGUUUAGUGUUUGUCAGUGUUAAAUGUGUGUAUUUCUCUUCCUGUCAGGUGGACACUGGAAAUUACCAGUGUGUUCAUGCAAAGAUACUUGAAACCGGGCAAGGAUUUACUGUGCCAGAAGUCAAAUACCCCCUACCCAUCAGUGAGCCUCUGGUACCCUUUUGAACACUUCUGAACCACAUACAAUCAUACUCUGUCUUAUAACAGAAAUGAAAAUCAGAAAGGCUGUUAAAAUCUUUUUCAUUCCUUAAUAUCAAAGUCAAUAUUGACAAAUGUAAUGAUUCGUAAGGAGUUUUAUCAUGCAUAUAUUCAUUUAUAAUCGAUUAAAUCGUUUUAUAGUAUAAUUGUUUAUAAUAAUCAUUGAUCAUAAAUGCUUUAUAUAACCGUUCAUUGAUCUGUCAUUUUAAACAAAUAUUUCAUUGUUAUACUGUAUGAUUGUGUUCUUUCAAUGGAUAUUGCUUUGCCUUUGCAAGACUUGUUGUGUGGGACAGUACUUUUUUGUCUAUUCUAUUCUACUGGGUUUGGUCUAAUACCAAUUGUUGGAUUCAUGAUGAUCAUGCAAAAUCAGCAUUAAAAACUAAAUGAAUAAACUCUUCUCAAUUACCAUCUCUUUGUUUCAUGCUUUUUACUUUUCCCUGGCAUCCUGU